rnacentral:lncRNA from 1 species
UUUGAGCCUAUUCAGAGUGAACGUUGGGCUUUUCCACAGGUGCUGUUUGCACGCGUCCUGGCUGCUGUGCACUUGCGUGUGUGACGGGAGACGCUUGUCCUCAGGAGAUCAGCCUGCGGAUGAAGUUCGUCCUGGACAGCUCUUCCUCAUUUGGCGUCCCACCCUCCGGGGCGGUCCGCGCCUCCUCCCCCGCAGCCGCUCCGCCUGGCCCGGGAUAAAGCUCGCUGCGCCUGGCGCUCGCAGCAGAACCGCGGGUCCGGUCCACUCCUUCCGCUCCGCGCAAACUCCCAGACCCCAGACCUCGCCGAUGGCACCCAUUGAGGGCAAGAAGGCCCGGAAAUUCGCCAGCUCCAUCGAGAGUUCUUGAGAGCUGGGUCCAACGUCAUGCAGACCUUCACAUUCUAUGCCAGUGAGGACAAGCUGGAGAAUAGGGGCAACUAUGUGGCAGAAGAUAUCUGUGAGUAUGCCAGCCUGGCACACCUUGAGGGGCACCUUGGCCACCAGAUUCUUAUAGAGAAAACCUGGAGCCUCUUAGAGUUCUCUUUCUACUAUUAGAGAAAUGUGAGAAAGGUGAAUGCCACUCCUAGGUUUAGCUGGAGUCUCUAAAAUCAACAGAAAAGCAUUUAAUGAUGCAGAUUAAAGGGGAGGCAUUUAAUGAUCAGCUAUUCUCCCGGUCUUGAAGAGGUUGCUGAGUAAAGAAGGGACCCUUACACACUCUUACUUCGCAUGGUGGACACGAAAGGUCAGAGGCAGAGGAGUGCAGGAGUAUGGAGUGGGAUCUGCUUUUGGGCAAACUGCUCACCCCAUCAAAACUGAGCCUUCUGUACAUGCAAUUGAAGAUGGUUUUUUGUUUUGUUUUUGGCUAUGCUGAGGAUCAAACAAUACCUCACAUGCUGCACCACUGAGCUUCACCCCUAGCCCAGCAAUUGCAUGCCCUCUCUCCCAGUUACUUGGGAGGCCAAAGCAGGACAAGUGCUAAAGCCCAGGAGUUAGAAGCAAGCCUGGGUAGCACAAAAAGACCCUGCCUCAAAAAAAACCAAAAAAUUAACCCCAGCUCAGAGUCAAGUUUUCAAAUUUUCUAAAUAAUUAGAAUAUACCUUACAAAGUAUAUGUUUAUCAAAGAACAAAAGGUUAUGAAUUCUGUUGUCAUUUUAAUUGAAUUUUUAUCUUAUUAAUAAUUAAAGCUGAUCAUUUGGCAUACACCUUGUAAAAUCCUAAGCUACUCCAGCUGCUGAGGCAGGAGGAUCACAACUUCAGUCAGCCUGGGCAACAUAGGUAACAAAGUGAGACCUUUUCCAAACAAACAAACAAACAAAUGCCAGUAAUCAUCUUUUCCAUCAAUGUUUGCUAAGUGCUCACCUAAGUGCAAGUCAGGUAGAGGAAGAUACCAGAUCAGAUCUGUUCCACGAAGAAACUUUUUACCCUCUCCCAGAUCUUUGGUGCCACAUUCCUAAUGCUGCCACUAGAUUUGUUGUCAUCAUCAUCAGUGGUGCUUUUGCAAGCCACUCAACCUGGUCAAGCACUGAGCUGCUCCCUGACCUUUUCCAUAAUAAAAUCAUAAUUAUAAGCCUAAAACUGAGCUGCAGGCACUUGAGUUUUUAUCUCAGUUUCCCAUGAAAAGGUAAAUGUAUCCCAUCCUCACUUCUUUUAGGGGGAGAAAGUCAACGAAGCUGCUUGCGACAUUGCCGGCAGGUGGCUGACGAGGGGAAUGCGCUGGUAGCAGUGGUGUAAGUCAGACGCCUUCAUACCUCAGCUGCAAGAGUGAAACUGAAGUUAAAAAAAUAUUCCAGCAGCAGUUAGAGGUCUUUGUGAAGAAGAGCAUUGGACUUCCUCAUCGCAGAGGUAAACAAAGCCAUGGUCAGAGACAGGAUACGGGCAUGAUGUCUGUGUGGGUCAGGCACCGAUCCUUGAUAAUAAUAUUUAUGUUUUGCAGUCUUUUUCCACUUUAAGGCUCCUACUAAAUGUGAUGCAAUUAAUCUAUGAGAGUAUUUUUCUUUUUCUUUUUUUUUUUUUUUUUUUUUUUUUUUUUUUUUUUUUUUUUUUUUUUUUUUUUGGUACGCGGGGAUCGGAACUCAGGACCUUGUGCUUGCUAAGCAGGCGGCGGAGCCACUGAGCUAAAUCCCGGCCUUAUGGGAGUAUUUUUCAUGCCUCUGGGCUCCAGCACAUACUGAGAAAUCCCACCCUUCCAUUCUCCCGCAGUAUUAAAAAUGGACAACAGAAUAAGUGUUCUCAGGGGUUUUGUGGGAAGCACGAUUAAAAUCACUCUCGCCUAACUGAUUGCAGUAUUUUGAACAUGUCGAGGAAGCUGUGUGGGCAGUGGAGGCCUUGAAAGUGUCCGGGAAACCCGUGGCAGUGACCAUGUGCAUCGGGCCCGAGGCGACCUGCAUGGCGUGUCUCCCAGGAGAGUGUGCCGUGCGCCUUGUGAGAGCAGGUGACCACAUGUUUCAAUCACGUUGCAAUUAGUGAGUCACCCUCCCAGGAAUCAUCAGUGUGUGCUCCUUUUGCUAACAGGGAACAACUGAUUUACUUGAGAUAAUUGGUACUAUCAGUAUUGAGUCCUAAAGGGAAAAAAGUGUAAAGAUACACCCACAUAUCACCAGCCUCUUGAGCGGGGCAACUAGCCUUAUGCUGGAGAGUAACACCUAGAAAUGAGAAGAAUGAAUGUUUUGCUAAGUCAAAAGAAAUAGUAGGAUUUUUUGUUUUUGUUUUUGGUUUGGUUUGGUUUUUUGAGACAGCGUCUCGCUAUGUGGCACAGGCUGGGCUUGAACUCACAGUUUCUCCUGCCUCCGCCUCCUGAGUGCUAGGAUUACAGGUGAGUGCUACCAUACCCAGCAGGAUGCAUUUUAUUUUUUAAACUCGUCUCAAAUAGAGGUUUUCAAACAUUCAUAACUUUAAAGCUAGUUGCCCUGUUUGCCAGUUUUUUCAUUCUCAUAAAUUAUGAGCAUGCUUUGCUUUUUUGUAAUUGAUAUAAUAAAUCAAAAAAUCUUUGAUAUGAAAUACUGACCACUUCAUGUAUCUUUUUAUACAAUUUCCACUGUGUUUCAUUUCAGUUAGGAGAAGCUCACAAAUUGUUUUCAAAACCUCUUCAUUUUAAACCCCAGGAAUAACAGUGUCAGAGGGAAGAGGGGACCCACUCUGUGAAAUAGUAGAAAUUUUGACUAGCAAUUCAUUUAAUUUCUGUUCUCCAAGUCCUGGUUUUUCAUGAAAAUCUCUUUCAUACUUGCCACUAACAAUAACAAAUAAUUUGGUUUAGGAGUGAAAGUGUACAAUCCUCAUUUUAUAGGAAAUAUAAAAAUAGGGGUGGGAGUAAGAUAACUGUUUUCAGAAGGACCAGUGAAGGACUUGACCAUCUCCACUGGUCACAGGUUGGGACGCCUGGCCAGCACCCAGACCCACUCCCUCCCCUCAGUUCAGAGUAGGGAAUAAGUGGCUGCCUGGUUUUUUGGUGGUGGUGUUGUUAUGGUACUAGGGAUUGAACCCAGGGCCUUGCUCAUCCUAGGCAACUGCUCUACCACUGAGCCACAUCCCCAACCCUUUUCUAAAUUGUAUUUUGAGACAAGGUCUUGCUAAGUUGCCCAGGCUGCUCUUGAUCUUGCAAUUCUCCUGCUUCAGCCUCCUGGGUAGCUGGGAUUAUAGUCAUGUGCCACUACACCCAGCACAGCCACCAUUUUUUAUAUCACUGCACACUACAUAUAUCCUACAUAGCACUUGUCACUUGUUUAUCUGUUUAAUGUCUGACUCCUUCAAUAGGUUAUAAGAGCCAUGAAGGCAGAAACUGUGUCUAUUUGGUCAGCACUGAGCACCCUGUGCCCUACCAUAGUCUCUAGCACAAAGCAGAUCCUUAAUCAAUAUGUGGCCGGAGCUGAGAGCUGCUCAGAGUUCCACACUGGACCUGGCAACAUUGAGUCACGAGUGACCAAGAAUGAAGAGCACUCGGCAGACCCAUCCCAGCUAGGACCUCGAAGAUGCCCACCGCUGAGCACCAGCCGCCAAGGGUUGCAGCCUCCACCCUGCUGCUCCUGGUCUGCACACGGCACUACUCUCCUUGUGGCUAGGGAAGUCUCUCCUGGCCUGAUUCUUGGCUUAUCUAUGAAUCUAAGAUACAAAGUCCAAGUUGUGAGUCAUCCAAAAGAAACUCUUGUGGAGGUAGAAACUACCCAGUAGUGCUUCAGCAGAUGAAUGGAUAAACGAAAUGUGGCACAUCCAUACAAUGGAGAAGUAUUCAGCUGUGAAAAAGGAUGUAGCUCUGAUAUAUGUUAUAACAGGAAUGAACCUAGGAACCAUCAUGCUCAAUGAAAUAAGACAAUCACGGUUGAACAAAAAAGCAUGACUUUACUCAUAUAAAGCAUCCAAAAGGGGCGAGCCCACAGAGACAGAAGUAGAUUAGUCAUCACCCAGAGCAGGAGGAAGAGGGAGAAAUUAGGAAUUUUUGCUUAAUAGUUAUAGAGUUUUUCUCUGGAGUGCAAAAACUGAGUAAACAUGAUGAUAGCCAGGUGUGGCCAGGUAUAGCCAGGUAUAGGCACACAUCUAUAAUCCCAGCACUCAGGAGGCUGAGGCAGGAGGAUCACCACGAGUUCAAGGCCAGCCUAGGCUACAUAGUGAGUUCAAGGCCAACCUGAAUUACAUAGGAGACCCUGUCUCAAAAAAUACAGUGAUGAUAGCUGCAGAAUGUUGUGAAUGCAACAGCACUGAACACUUAAAAUGAUUAAAAUGGCCAAUUUUAUGAUUAUAUAUUUUACCAAAAUCUUAAAAAUACAAAAAGCAAAAAGAGAAGUUCACUUUUGAAAUCUCUCCCAUUUCAAGAGGCGUCAAGGUCACAUUGGCUCUGCAAAUCUUGAGGAGGAGGAGAUUUCUAAAAUCAUGUCUAACAAUGCCAUGAUCAAUUGUCUUUGGCCCAGAUGCAAUUAAGAAUAUAAUAAACAUCAGGACAGGGAUUUAGCUCAGUGGUGCCUGCCUCACAAGCGCAAGGUCCCAAGUUCAAUCCCCAGUACCAAAAAGAAAAAAAGAACAUAAUGACCAUCAAGAAAGUCUUUGAGGGCCGGGGAUUUAGCUCAGUGGUUUCACUGCCUGCUGCACAAGCACAAGGACCUGCGUUCAAUCCCCAGUACCCCCUGCAAAAAAAUUUUUCUUUAAGAAGUCUUUGAAAACAAGUGUCUAAAGCACAUUCUGUUCUCCCUAAAUCAAACUUCCACAGCAACAGAUUUUAGAAGGAAGCUUUAAGAGCACACACCAUGUAGUUGUGAAUUGGAGGCUAAAAUGUAAAUGAAAGGCUUGACAAAUAAUUGACAGGUAGUUAACCAUAUCGAUCAGCUCAAGUCAAAGGAUUUUUGAAUGUGUUUUUCUCCAAACCACUAACCCUAGACACAAAAUUCCUUCUGGAAAACAGAUUUCUGAAAAAUGUUUUUUAAAAAUUACUUUCUGCUAUUUUUCCCAAGAAGCCUAGUGAAAUUAUUAAACAGACCUGAUGAGAGGGAACAUUUAUUUAAGCCUCAAAUGAGCAGCGCUGUGGUAAACACAGGUGCAGUCUAGCAGCUGGGCGUGUUGAAAAUUAUUGUGCUUGCAACGAAAUGUCAAGUGUUGAAAAAUUGACUACCAAACUUUGAAGUAAAAAAGAAAAAAAACCCUCCAAUCAUGAUUUUUUGGGGGGAAAAAAGAUGGACAGCCCAGUUUGCAUAAAUGACACUUCAAUUACCAGACUCCUCAAAGUACUUUUUACAGAAAGCACUCUGCCUACUAGUAAUCAGUCUUGCUCACAACUGGCUUAGGCUGUGGGACAUGGGGACCCAUGCAACACUUCCAAUUCAUCACUCCAAACAGGGGCUUCCUAAAGAAGAAACAGAGUCGGCGCCGGGUAGCAGGGCAGUCCCGAUGCCUAACCUGUCCUCUGCUUGCAGGCGCCUCCAUUGUGGGGGUGAACUGCCACUCGACCCCACAACUAGCCUGCAGACAGUGAAGCUCAUGAAGGAGGGCCUCGGCGGCCGCAGGGCUAAAAGCUCACCUGAUGAGUCAGCCCUUGGCCUACCACACUCCAGACUGCGGCAAGCAAGGCUUUAUUGAUCUCCCAGAAUUCCCCUUUUGGACUGGAGCCCAGAGUUGCCACCAGAUGGGAUAUUCAGAAAUAUGCCAGAGAGGCCUACAACCUGGGGGUCCGGUACAUCGCGGGUGCUGUGGGUUCGAGCCCUACCACAUCAGGGCGAUUUGGAAGAGCUGGCCCCAGAAAGGGGAUUUUGCCACCAGCUUCUGAAAAGCAUGGGGGCUGGGGAAGUGGUUUGGACAUGCACACCAAACCCUGGAUUAGAGCGAGGUAAGCACCAUUUCCAGCCCAAACUGGUUUGGAUCUGAAUACCGUAUGUCCAAGCGAGACCACUAAAAGGGCAGCUAAUUUGCUAUGUGAUGAUUAAAUUCUCUCCCGGAAAUGUUUAUAAAACAGCUUCAUGAGCUGAUCUGUGUUGAAGACUCUAAAAAUAUAGAAUAUAGGGCUGGGGAUUUAGCUCAGUGGUGCUGCUGCCUGGCUCGAAAGCACAAGGUCCUGAGUUCAACCCACAGUACCAAAACAAAAAAGAAUAUAGACUAUGAACAAUAUAUAUGGUAAUGAAAUGUUAUUUUUUUUGGUCUAAGAAAGCACCAUGUACAUGGGAGAUGCUAACAUUGAAUCAUGUGGAUUUAUGAGUCAAAUACAACUUAAACACAGCAAUAUUGUUUUAUGUCAAGAUUUGCAGGGCCAGGAAUUUAGCUCAGUGAUUCUGCUGCCUACCUCGCAAGAGCAAGGUCUCAAGUUCAAUCCCCGGUACCACAAAAAAAAAAAAAAGAUUUGCAGCAGUGGGAACAUAGUAGUAAACAAGAUACACAAGGAUUUUGCCCUCGAUCCUACAUUCCAGUGGUAGAGAUGAAUAAUAACAAGAAAACAAAUUUUUUUAUCAAGCAGGUGAAGGACAUGAGGAAUGCUACACAAAUGGAAAUCUGUGGUCUCUGAUUUGGAGACUCGCAGACUAUGGGGGAAAUGGAUAAGAAAUCCAAUAUAUGAUACAGUAGGGAAAUGGAUAACAAAGUAACAGGAGAAAAGAAUGACUAAGUCUGCCUAGGAGAAAGAUAUUCUAGAAAAAGGGUCUCUUGGACCCUUUUGAAGGCUGAGUAGAGAAGGAAGGCUGGAGAGUGGCCCACCCAGCAGAGGGAGCCAUCCCACAACACUCAGCAGACAUUCACCGAGCACAAUUUUGUCAGACACUGCUUUGACACUGUUGCCGAAAGCUGGAUGUCACACAGCCUGCGCCCCGCUCCGGGGGUUAGCAGAGUAGACCGAGACCCAGGCUGUUCCCGUGAUGGCGUGAGUUCACAAGAGGAGGAGCACAGGCGCAGCCACUUGGAGCCGAGCUAAUGGCCCACAGAAGCGAAAGACGGAGGGGGCCGAUGGAGGGUGCCUGAGCCUGCCGCUGCCUGAGCUGAAUUCUUCAGGGUGAAUUAUGUCGUCAGACACAGGAACAGCAUGCUGGAAGCUCUCGGGGUGGGAAGAGAACAGUGCAUUGAGAAACUAGAAGUCUAAGCACAGUGGAGGGAACCAGAGCUGAUAGAGGACACUUCAAAUAGGCAGUGAGAGGCCUGCAGUGUGUCAGGCGGCCCGUGUGAGGGUAGGUUUGCAAGUUAGUGAGUGCCACAGCCUUGCACACAUGCCUCCGAGAAGGGCUCUCAGCCAUGAGGAGGACUGAGCCAGAAGGAGACAAAGGGAAAAGAAGGGAGAAGGAAGGAAGCAAAUUCUGCAGAGGGAGAGGUACAGAAGCCAUUCAGAGCCGGACCACAAGGUACAGGGCAGAAUGUGAGGGUGGACAGGUCACAUACACUGGACAGAAAAUAUCCCCUCCCUAAAUUCUAAGCUUUUUAUCCCUAUACAUAUGUGAAAAAGAGGAAAUCUGAGACAAUUUUAGACAGUCAGUUUGAGGGGUCAAAAGAUCUUACUCUGCUUUAACGGACGCACUCUCCGAGUCUGAAGAUGCCCUGGGUUAUGUUGUAGCUCGGGGGACAGAGCGCUGGACACACAGGGCUGGAGCCUGAUGUUUUGUGCUUUGGUCCCACAGGGCCAGGGAAGGAAUACUGGCAGAGUCUCCGGAUCGCCUCAGGCAGGCCCUACAACCCCUCACUGUCCAAGCCUGAUGCCUGGGGGUGACCAAAGGGACAGCCGAGCUGAUGCAGCAAAAGGAAGCCACCACCGAGCAGCAGCUGAGAGAGCUUUUUGAAAAACAGGAGUUCAGAUCUACCCAGUAGCCACAACCUGACUAUCUUUGCUGAAUUCCUGUAUGUCUGGGCACUCCAUGUGUACAAAUAAGGAAAAGAUGGUUCAAAAGCAGUGUUUGCCUUAGUGCCAGCCUACAUGUAUACUUGGUAUUAGCCAAGCGAAGAGAAUCAUGAGUAGCAGUUGGCAGGUCUAAAAGUAUGUUAGAGUUUAUCUAGAAGCAACCAAAAUACAAAGUAAAUCUGAAACAGGUUUCCUAAACACCUGUCGUGUGUAAGGUAUUACAGAAAUCACUGCAGCAAAGGAAAAGUAAUCCAGACAUUAAUCCCAUUUCCAGAAAUUGGCAGGCUGAGAGGGAGCACAAGACCUGCCCUGUCAUGAGUGACACAGAGCCAGGCAGGGACAGGCGAGUGCUGUGGAAAGUGACUUCCGACCACUUCUGAAUGUGACUGCUAUUAAGGAACACAGUCUGUCCAAUGGCCCAGUAAUGGCAUACAAUCUCUGAAAUAAAAUGUGUCAUCUGUUCUGAUAUUUUGUAUUCUUUUCCAUUCCACCCUAGUUAGAAAAAUAUACCGGCUGAGAUCCUUUCAAGUUGAUGUUAUGAUUCAUUAAUGGGUUCUGACCCACAGUUAGAAAAGCAUUGUCAUGAAACAGUUCAUACAUAGGGACCACACAGGUCCACCUAGUAUAAGUUUAUUCUUAUAAGAAAGCCAGCCACAGGCAGCCAUCGGCAGCUGACUAUUGGGUAUCCAAAGGUUAGCAUCCUGCUCUGAGUUCCACCAUUCUUUUAAAUUUCCUGACUCACUUCUUCUCACACACACAUAUAGAUCUAUGGGGAGGAAAGAAGAGGGAUUGGUAUAUGUGCCCUCUUCAUCCCGCUCAAAACUGGGCCCACCUAAAUGCCCCCAGCCAGUCAGGUUGAGGAGCACUGAGCCUGUAUUACAUUGGUAGCUUUAAAAAAAUUAUUUUUAAUAUAUAUAUAUAUAUAUAUAUAUCGUUGGAGUCAGACAUGGUGGUGUACACCUGUAAUCUCAGCACUCUGGGAGGCUGAAGCAGGAGAAUCACAAGUUCAGGCCCAGCCCAGAUAACAUAGCAAGACUUUGUCCAACAUAAAAAUAAAGGUCCAGAGAUAUAGCUCACUGUGAAAGCCCUGGGUUCAAUCCCCAGUACCACACACACAACCAUCUCCAAUGCAAAACAAAAUAAACAGAUUCUCCAAACGCCAGCCAGGAUGCCUAGGCUGAGGGGGAUGCUUCCCCUGGUGAUCUAAUAUCCACUCUUCUCCAAAGAGCACAGCCUGAGUAUGCAAGACCUGCAGAGCUACACGCUGCCCUCCAAAGGAGGAAAGAGUUCACACUGCUCCCUAAAGUUUGUGGACUGGCUGAGCUAUUCUGAAAUUGUCACUUUUCUUUUAAUAACAAAAGGAUCAAUCAAAUUGUACAAGUAAAACAAAACCCAGACAAUCCACUAGGUCCUGUAUGGAAUCUUUAUACCUCUAUUUCUCCUUCUAUUAAAAAAUAACAGGGCAGGGGAUUUAGCUCAGUGGUUCUGCUGCCUGCCUCGCAAGCACAAGAUCCCGAGUUCAAUCCCCGGUACAAAAAAAAAAAAAAAAAAAAUCUACCCACUUAUCUCAAAGGCAUGCUGGAAUUUCAGAGGCACUAGCAGUGUUUAAAGGAAAGAGAAAUGUCCAAGGUUUUCUCAUUGAGUUUAUAAUCCGCCCCUCCCCAGGGCACAGACAGAGACAAAGCGUGCUCUUUUCAGAGGCGCUGUAAGCACCACCUUCACGUUUCUAUUUUUUGGAAACCAACUUCAAUAGUUAAUACUUUGCUUCAUAGGUGAUAGAAACUUUAUUGGACUUACUGUUCUAUUACUGUGCAAAAUGCACGUCC